rnacentral:lncRNA from 1 species
CUCUUUCGUGCCCAUCCCUGUUUUCGUUUCAAGCAGGAGAGGUGUCCGACGACUCUGACAAGUCCCAGUCUGAGGUGAGCGACGAGGACGACGAAAGCAAUGUGAGACCAUCAUGAUCCAUCUGCCAACUUUUUCCCCAUGAUCCCCUAACUGCUCAACAUGUUCUAUUCUGAAUAUCUGAAAACUUGUUGUGUGUAGGGGGACUUGUGAUGCGGCACGCAAAGCAGCAGCUGGGGGAGGGGGUCUUUGAAAUGUCGCCGCUUUCCCUCAUUGCUAGUGUCACCGAUUGAUGAUGGAUGGUUGCUGUUAGUUUAGCUCCUUAGUAGUACCUCCUAGUCUUUCAAGAGGCUGAUGCUGGUAGCUAUAGUCUGUUCACCGAUUGAUGAUGGGUUGUUGAAUGUACUUACUGUUGUACCCCUCGCUGUUUAAGGAAUACUUUCGCGUUGAAAGAAAUAAAAUGGUCUUGAUA